rnacentral:rRNA from 1 species
UAGGGAAUCUUCCACAAUGGACGCAAGUCUGAUGGAGCAACGCCGCGUGAGUGAAGAAGGUUUUCGGACCGUAAAGCUCUGUUGUUGGUGAAGAAGGAUAGAGGUAGUAACUGGCCUUUAUUUGACGGUAAUCAACCAGAAAGUCACGGCUAACUACGUGCCAGCAGCCGCGGUAAUACGUAGGUGGCAAGCGUUGUCCGGAUUUAUUGGGCGUAAAAGCGAGCGCAGGCGGAAGAAUAAGUCUGAUGUGAA